UACGGCCAUAUAGCAUUGAAAUAUUGGUUCCCAUAUGAUCACCAAUGUUAAGCAACAUUGAGCCUGGUCACUACAUAGGUAGGUGACCACUUGAGAAUACCAAGUGAUGUAAG